AUCUGGAUAGCUUAAAUAUAAAGCACAUCCCUGAAGAGGAUAUGAUGAGUCACUCUCUAGAUA
rnacentral:tRNA from 1 species